GACGAACGCUGGCGGCGCGCUUAACACAUGCAAGUCGAACGGAAAGGCCUGCUUUCCCUUGUGGAUUGCGGGUACUCGAGUGGCGAACGGGUGAGUAACACGUGAGUGAUCUGCCCCCAACUUGGGUAUAAGCCUGGGAAACUGGGUCUAAUUCCCGAUAGGACUGCAGGGUGGUGCCUGUGGUGGAACACGAUUUUCUAGUGGUUGGGGAUGAGCUCGCGGCCUAUCAGCUUGUUGGUGGGGUAAUGGCCUACCAAGGCGGCGACGGGUAGCCGGCCUGAGAGGGUGGACGGCCACAUUGGGACUGAGAUACGGCCCAGACUCCUACGGGAGGCAGCAGUGGGGAAUAUUGCACAAUGGGGGGAAGCCUGAUGCAGCGACGCCGCGUGGGGGAUGACGGCCUUCGGGUUGUAAACUCCUUUCGACCGCGAGGAAGCCACCUGGUUGGAAGGGUGGUGACGGUAGUGGGAGAAGAAGCACCGGCUAACUACG
rnacentral:rRNA from 1 species